UACGUAGGGUGCAAGCGUUGUCCGGAAUUAUUGGGCGUAAAGAGCUCGUAGGCGGUUUGUCGCGUCGGCUGUGAAAACCUGGGGCUUAACUCCGGGCCUGCAGCCGAUACGGGCAAGCUAGAGUUCGGCAGGGGAGACUGGAAUUCCUGGUGUAGCGGUGAAAUGCGCAGAUAUCAGGAGGAACACCGGUGGCGAAGGCGGGUCUCUGGGCCGUUACUGACGCUGAGGAGCGAAAGCGUGGGGAGCGAACAGG
rnacentral:rRNA from 1 species